rnacentral:rRNA from 1 species
AUUGAACGCUGGCGGCAUGCUUUACACAUGCAAGUCGAACGGUAACAGGCCUUCGGGUGCUGACGAGUGGCGAACGGGUGAGUAAUGCAUCGGAACGUGCCCAAUCGUGGGGGAUAACGUAGCGAAAGUUACGCUAAUACCGCAUAAGCCCUGAGGGGGAAAGUGGGGGACCGCAAGGCCUCACGCGAAUGGAGCGGCCGAUGUCAGAUUAGCUAGUUGGUGGGGUAAAGGCCCACCAAGGCGACGAUCUGUAGCGGGUCUGAGAGGAUGAUCCGCCACACUGGGACUGAGACACGGCCCAGACUCCUACGGGAGGCAGCAGUGGGGAAUUUUGGACAAUGGGCGCAAGCCUGAUCCAGCCAUGCCGCGUGCGGGACGAAGGCCUCGGUGUAA